rnacentral:rRNA from 1 species
GACGAACGCUGGCGGCGUGCCUAAUACAUGCAAGUUGAACGCUUCUUUCUUAUCGAACUUCGGUUCACCAAGAAAGAGGAGUAGCGAACGGGUGAGUAACACGUGGGUAACCUGCCCAUCAGCGGGGGAUAACACUUGGAAACAGGUGCUAAUACCGCAUAAUGCUUUUUCUCACAUGAGAGAAAGCUGAAAGGCGCUUUUGCGUCACUGAUGGAUGGACCCGCGGUGCAUUAGCUAGUUGGUAGGGUAACGGCCUACCAAGGCAACGAUGCAUAGCCGACCUGAGAGGGUGAUCGGCCACACUGGGACUGAGACACGGCCCAGACUCCUACGGGAGGCAGCAGUAGGGAAUCUUCGGCAAUGGACGAAAGUCUGACCGAGCAACGCCGCGUGAGUGAAGAAGGUUUUCGGAUCGUAAAACUCUGUUGUUAGAGAAGAACAAGGAUGAGAAGAGAAUGUUCAUCCCUUG